rnacentral:rRNA from 1 species
GCCGGUUAUCGGGAUUAUUGGGCGUAAGCGCUCGCAGGCGGUCUUUUAAGUCUGAUGUGAAAGCCCACGGCUCAACCGUGGAGGGUCAUUGGAAACUGGGAGACUUGAGUGCAGAAGAGGAGAGUGGAAUUCCACGUGUAGCGGUGAAAUGCGUAGAGAUGUGGAGGAACACCAGUGGCGAAGGCGACUCUCUGGUCUGUAACUGACGCUGAGGAGCGAAAGCGUGGGGAGCGAACAGGAUUAGAUACCCUGGUAGUCCACGCCGUAAACGAUGAGUGCUAAGUGUUAGAGGGUUUCCGCCCUUUAGUGCUGCAGCAAACGCAUUAAGCACUCCGCCUGGGGAGUACGGUCGCAAGACUGAAACUCAAAGGAAUUGACGGGGGCCCGCACAAGCGGUGGAGCAUGUGGUUUAAUUCGAAGCAACGCGAAGAACCUUACCAGGUCUUGACAUCCUUAUGCCUUCCCUAGAGAUAGGGCUUUCCCUUCGGGGACAUAAGUGACAGGUGGUGCAUGGUUGUCGUCAGCUCGUGUCGUGAGAUGUUGGGUUAAGUCCCGCAACGAGCGCAACCCUUGAUCUUAGUUGCCAGCAUUCAGUUGGGCACUCUAAGGUGACUGCCGGUGACAAACCGGAGGAAGGUGGGGGAUGACGUCAAAUCAUCAUGCCCCCUUAUGACCUGGGCUACACACGUGCUAC